rnacentral:lncRNA from 1 species
CUCAUCAUCACAUAAAACUGCAAAAUUUUGACCGGUCUACUUUGACUUCCAACAAAAUGCUAACUAGACUCAGUAAACAAACAAUAGUCAUGCUCAAGGCACCCGUCGCAAUAACAAGAAACGGCUCGAACUAGGACCGUUUAAAGAUUUUUUGUUUCUACUCGAUGCAUGGUCCGUAUACCCUUUAUUGGUUUAAACGAUUUUCUAUCUCUUCGUUUACAAGCAUAUGACCAUGGUGUUGUUAAUCGUGACUGUGUGAAUGGAAACAGUUAUACAGUCGAACAUAUCUGAAAUUGUCCACGUAUAAUGGCAAUAUUUGCUUGAUUUUUCAAAAGUCCACCUGCGGUAUACUGUGGACCCUUUGUAUGACAACUUUUAAAAUAAUUCAUAAUUAUUUGUUUAUAUCCAAAUUGGCUAAAGAAUCAUUCUACUAGGGUACCAAUACAAUGACCUAUAAUUGCAUUUGUCUUCGUCAUAGAACUUAAGGCUCACUAGUGGAUAGAUGUCUCAUUGGCAACCACACCACAUCUCCUUAUUUAUAUAUUUUGACAGUAUACAGAUUAUUUCUAGUAGUAUAUUUGUUCUACUAUUACUGAAUAUAUGGCGUUAAAGAGCUUGCGUUGGGUUUUUUUGUUGUAUUUAAGUCACAUUGUUUAGUAUGGUGAUACACUUAUCUACUAUAUCGACUUCAAUAUCUUACACGUCGACCUAACAUCUGACAAGUCAGUAUAAUUAUCUAACAAGUCAACGCAUGUUGAGGUGAAUAUUUGACAUGCCAACCUAAAUAUCCAACAUGUUGAUUUAAUGUCCAAAACUU